GUGAGGAAUAUUGCGCAAUGGCCGAAAGGCUGACGCAGCGACGCCGCGUGGAGGAUGAAGUCCGUUAGGAUGUAAACUCCUUUUGCAGGGGAUGAAUGUGGCGCCUUGAGCGCCAUUGACCGUACCUUGCGAAUAAGGAUCGGCCAACUACGUGCCAGCAGCCGCGGUAAUACGUAGGAUCCGAGCGUUGUCCGGAAUUACUGGGUGUAAAGGGCGUGUAGGUGGAUUUUCAAGUCGGUGGUGAAAUCCUGCAGCUCAACUGCAGAAUUGCCUCCGAUACUGGAGAUCUUGAGUGCGGCAGAGGGAGACGGAAUUCAUGGUGUAGCGGUGAAAUGUGUAGAUAUCAUGAAGAACACCGGUUGCGAAGGCGGUCUCCUGGUCCGUUACUGACACUGAGGCGCGAAAGCGUGGGGAGCAAACAGGAUUAGAAACCCUGGUAGUCC
rnacentral:rRNA from 1 species